rnacentral:rRNA from 1 species
AUUGAACGCUGGCGGCAGGACUAACACAUGCAAGUCGAACGAGUGGAGGCCGGGGGAGUAAUGUCUGGGAAACUGCCCGAUGGAGGGGGAUAACUACUGGAAACGGUAGCUAAUACCGCAUACCAUCGGAUGUGACCAGAUGGUAUUAGCUUGUAGGUGAGGUAACGGCUCACCUAGGCGACGAUCCCUAGCUGGUCUGAGAGGAUGACCAGCCAAACUGUAACUGAGACACGGUCCAGAAUCAUACGUGAGGAAGCAGUGGUGAAUAUUGCACAUGGGGCUGAGUCCUGAGGCAGCCAUGCCGGGUUGAUUAAGAAGGCCUUCUUGGUGUAAAGUACUUUCAGCGGGGAGGCGUUACUCGCAGAAGAAGCACCUGCUAACUCCGUGCCAGCAGCCGCGGUAAUUC